UGCCUGCUCGAGCUAGCUAAGGUUUUGGGUCUCUUUAGUGAUUUUUGAGAAGCUAGGAAGGAGUGGCUUUUCUGGUAAGCCCUCUAGCCAUUCUUUGAGAGCUAAGCAGAUUGUGACUUUCUUUCAAGCAAAAUGGCAAUUGUGUGGGAGCAUUUUAUGAUGCUCAUGUAUUGAGCAUAAGUUAAGAGUAGAGAGAGUUUGUGGAUCUGAGCUCCUGGGCAAAACAACAAAGCAGAUUGAGGUUGGCUUUUGCUUUUCAAGCUAUUAAUUAUCAAGCCAAAAGCAAUCACUAGAGGUGCAAUUUUUAUGUUUAGCCCAGUACCAUCUCUCUCUCUCCCAUUUGGCUCUUAAUCUUGUGCUCUUAUUUUUGUAUCCACUUGCCAUAGCCUAGAUCACGAAAGAACCGACGCCAUAUGCUUGAUAAAAUACCCUUUUUGUCAUCCCACUCUUUUUUCAAUUUCCAGAGAGUGUUCGUAGCCAUUCCAAUGAGGUUUACUACAGUCAAACCUUUAGGGAGUUGUCUUGGAGUGCUAAUGGUUCUGGCUUUUUGCAAGCAAGGAGUUGGUGGAAAAUAUCACUAUUGAAGAAUUCUAGAGAUUUUGGAACUAUUGCGGUAGGAAGGCAAGCAGGACAUUUGCAAAGGCUGCAAAGAUUAUAGGCUAACAAAGGUUUGCCACAUGGAUACAGGUAUGAUCAAACAAAUUUUCCUCUAAACUUAUCAUCCCGGUAUAAUUUAAGAGGAGAUUCACCACAUCAUAACGGCCAUGACUACAAGCCAAGAAAAAAGCACUCUUGCUUUCGGAGUUAAGCUUAGAAGCUGCCAUUGGAUUGGCCUCUAAUAGCAGCUUCAAGACCUCGGCCUUCCCUUGGCAACAAGCUUCAUGUAUUGGAGUCUCCAGGUUCUUAUUUUCAGCAGCAACCAAGUCCGGACACAACUUAACAAUUUCGGACACCAUGUCAACGUGUCCUAACUUUGAAGCAAGGUGUAAUGCAGUGUCCAAGGAGUCAGUUGUUCUUUGCUCAAGAAUUCCUUCACUUGCUUGAAAUAAACUGAUCAAUGUGGGUGUGUCAUUUAUCCUAAUAGCCUCUAGAAGCCUAGAAUCCAUCUCCUUAAGCUUCCAAUCUAUGUUAUGCUUUCCUACUAGGCUUCAACUUUAUGCUAAAAAGGAAAAAUAUGAGUUAAAAAGUUAUGUUCUAGUCGUUUUAGACACAUAUAUAGGAAAUUAGCAAUGAUGUCAAUUGGAAAUGUUGGUUGCAAUUGGAAAUGAUAGAGAAAUUGAGUAAGAAAUAAUGUGUCUAUUAAAUUCCUAGACAGUUUGAUUACUUCACGAUGUCAACUUCUUAGUGUCUUCUAGGAAUGUGUCUCUUGACUUCCUUAGGUCGAUCCUUAAGGAGGUCACAAUCUUUAUAAUCGAUGAGAAUCUUCAUGGUUUGUGGUUUAGACAUAAAAUAUGUGAAUAAAUAAUUUUCCACAUUUUUAUUCUUUCUCCGAAA